CUACUGCUGGCUCUGCUGUCCUGAGCCCCCUGAGUCUGGAGCCCCCAGGACAGCACCCGCCUCCUAAAGUUGUUCUGGCUCAGUGAAGCACAGCGAUGGUGGAGAACUGGACUCCACAGGCUCACAACUUUCCUGUCAGGUCUCAGGGGCUUUCGUCCUUCAUCUGGGGACUGGCAGCCCUGAACAAUGGCUGAGGCCUGGGGGACCCCAUAGAGUGAACCCCAGCGCACGCCAGCCAGCAGCCCUCCAGUGCCCGUGGACUAUGACCACGUAUCGACCCAUUCCCAAUGAUGGCGUGGACCUGGCAACCAGCUGUGGGGCCAGAGGGGCCGAUGUCCUUCCCGGGCCACACACAGGGGACUAUGCUCCCAUGGGAUUCUGGGUCCAGAAUGGCAGCAUGUCUCAGGGUGAGAGCCCAGCCACCGCCACCACCCGCCCCAGCCCCACCACCCCGGCCAUGCCUAAGAUGGGAGUGCGCGCCAGGGUGGCCGACUGGCCCCCCAAGCGAGAGGCUCUGAGAGAACAGAACAACCCCAGCCCCUCUCAGGAUGCAGACAGCACCAAGACUGCCAAGGCAACCCAUUCCCUGAGGAACCUACAGAAUGGACAGCCCCCCACCAGCACCCUAGCUUCCUCAGGGCCCAAAGCCUUCCACAGACUCUCCAGAAGAAGGUCCAAAGAUGUGGAGUUUCAGGACGGGUGGCCCAGGUCCCCUGGCCGCGCCUUCCUCCCCCUGCGGUACCGCAGCAGCAGCGAGAUCACGCUCAGCGAGUGUGAUGUCGAGGACACCGGGGAGGCGCGGGGGGCCCGGCAUGCGGGGGCUCUGCCUCUUUUUCGGGAGUACGGGAGCACGUCGUCCAUUGACGUGCAGGGCGUGCCCGAGCAGAGCUUCUUCGACAUCCUCAAUGAGUUCCGAAACGAGCAGCCGGAGCCCCGAGGCUCCCAGAACCUCACGGAGCUCCUGCAGUUGGAGCCCGCCCUGCACCUCGCAGGCAGCAACGGCGCCAAGGGGGACCCCCGUAACGGGCAGGCCCCCAAGGACAGCCUCCUCCCGCUUCAGCCCUUGAAGGAAAAGGCCCGGAAGAAACCGGUGCGGGGCCUCGGUGGUGGGGACGCGGUGGACUCGUCCAUCUUCCGGAAGUUGAGGAACAGUAAGCCAGAGGUGGAUGCUGGGCGUCCCCUAGGAGAGGCCGAGGAGGGCCGAAGCCCCCCGGAGGCCAGCAGGCCAUGGGUCUGCCAAAAGAGCUUCUCCCACUUUGACGUACAGAGCAUGCUGUUCGACCUGAACGAGGCGGCUGCCAACAAGGUGUCUGUGGCUCAGCGUCGGAACACCACCACGGGGGCCUCUGCCGCCUCGGCCAUGGCAUCGCUCACAGCCUCGCGGGCCCACGGGCUCGGGGGUCUGGACCCCGCCUUCACCAGCACCGAGGAUCUGAACUGCAAAGAGAACCUGGAGCAGGACCUUGGCGAUGACAACAGUAAUGACCUGCUGCUUAGCUGCCCACACUUCCGCAACGAGAUGGGAGGCGAGUGCGAGCGCAACGUGAGCUUCUCCCGUGCCUCCGUGGGCUCCCCGAGCGGCAGCGACGACCGCCUGGCAGAGGCCACCCUGAGCACCUACCGCACCAACGCCAGCAUCUCGGUGCUCGAGGUACCCAAGGAGCAGCAGAGAACACAGAGCCGCCCGCGGCAGUACAGCAUCGAGCACGUGGACCUCGGCGCCCGCUACUAUCAGGACUACUUUGUGGGCAAAGAGCAUGCCAAUUACUUUGGCGUGGACGAGAAGCUGGGACCGGUGGCCGUGAGCAUCAAGCGGGAGAAGCUGGAAGACCACAAGGACCAUGGGCCUCAGUACCAAUACAGGAUCAUCUUCCGGACCCGUGAGCUCAUUACCCUGCGGGGCUCCAUCCUGGAGGACGCCACACCCACAGCCACCAAGCAUGGGACGGGAAGGGGCCUGCCCCUGAAGGAUGCCCUGGAGUACGUCAUCCCAGAGCUCAACAUCCACUGCCUGCGACUGGCUCUCAACACCCCCAAAGUGACAGAGCAGCUGCUGAAACUCGACGAGCAAGGGCUCUGCCGGAAACACAAGGUGGGCAUCCUGUACUGCAAGGCAGGCCAGAGCUCCGAGGAGGAGAUGUACAACAACGAGGAGGCGGGCCCGGCCUUCGAGGAGUUCCUCUCCCUGAUCGGCGAGAAGGUCUGCCUGAAGGGCUUCACCAAGUAUGCCGCCCAGCUGGAUGUCAAGACUGACUCCACGGGAACCCACUCCCUCUACACGACGUACCAGGACUAUGAGAUCAUGUUCCACGUCUCCACCCUGCUUCCUUACACCCCCAACAACAGACAGCAGCUACUAAGGAAGCGGCACAUCGGGAAUGACAUUGUGACCGUCAUCUUCCAGGAGCCUGGAGCGCUGCCCUUCACCCCUAAAAACAUCCGCUCGCACUUUCAGCAUGUCUUCAUCAUUGUCCGAGUCCACAACCCCUGCACUGAAAAUGUCUGCUACAGCAUGGCUGUCACCCGAUCCAAAGAUGCUCCUCCUUUCGGGCCCCCCAUCCCCAGUGGAACCACAUUCCGCAAGUCUGACGUCUUCAGAGACUUCUUGCUGGCCAAGGUGAUUAACGCUGAGCAUGCGGCACACAAAUCCGACAAGUUUCACACCAUGGCCACCAGGACCCGCCAAGAGUACCUCAAGGACCUGGCUGAAAACUGCGUCUCCAAUACGCCCAUUGAUUCCUCGGGCAAGUUCAACCUCAUCUCCCUGACCUCCAAGAAGAAGGAGAAAACUAAAGCCCGGGCUGGCGCUGAGCAGCACAGCGCAGGGGCCAUUGCCUGGAGGGUGGCAGCUCAGGACUACGCCCAGGGACUAGAAAUCGACUGCAUUUUGGGAAUUUCUAACGAAUUUGUGGUGCUCCUGGACCUACGCACCAAAGAGGUGGUAUUCAACUGCUACUGCGGGGACGUCAUUGGCUGGACCCCCGACUCCACGACACUCAAAAUCUUUUAUGGGCAAGGGGACCACAUCUUCCUACAGACCACAGUGGGCUCUGUGGAGGACAUAAGGGAAAUCGUCCAGAGACUGAAGGUGAUGACCAAUGGCUGGGAGACAGUGGACAUGACACUGCGGCGGAAUGGACUUGGGCAGCUGGGCUUCCACGUGAAGUAUGACGGGACUGUGGCGGAAGUUGAGGACUAUGGAUUUGCCUGGCAGGCUGGACUCCGGCAGGGCAGCCGGCUGGUGGAGAUUUGCAAGGCAGCUGUGGUCACAUUGACCCACGACCAGAUGAUUGACCUGCUGCGCACCUCCGUCACCGUGAAGGUGGUCAUCAUUCCCCCUUUUGACGACGGCACACCCCGAAGGGGGUGGCCUGAGACCUAUGACAUGAAUACCUCAGAGCCCAAGACCGAGCCAGAGAGCAUGACCCCUGGGGGCCGGCCCCCCUAUCGAAGCAAUGCGCCCUGGCAGUGGAGCGGGCCAGCAUCUCACAACUCGCUGCCAGCCUCCAAGUGGGCCACCUCAGCCAACCCUGGCCACGCCCAGUCCCUGAGCCGGCCCCCGAAGCAGACUCCCAUGGUCCCCUUCCGGGAGUCGCAACCACUGCACAGCAAGAGGCCUGUCAGCUUCCCAGAAACCCCUUACACAGCAUCACCAGCAGGGGCCGACAGAGUCCCUCCCUACCGACAGCCUUCUGGAAGCUUCUCCACCCCCAGCUCUGCCACCUACGCAAGAUACAAGCCAUCACCAGAAAGGUAUACGACCGCCCCACACCCACUGCUAUCGUUUGAUCCCCACUUCACUCACGAUGGGACGUCCAGCGGCGACUCCUCCUCAGGUGGUCUGACCAGCCAGGAGAGCACUAUGGAGCGUCAGAAGCCAGAGCCUUUGUGGCAUGUGCCCGCCCAGGCCCGGCUCUCAGCCAUGACCGGAAGCAGCAGCAGCGGCGGGGGCAGCAGCAAGCAUGCCUCCAGGCAGGAUACAGCAGGCAAAGAUUCCCCCAACAGGCAUUCCAAAGGAGAACCUCAGUACUCCAGUCAUUCCAGCAGCAAUACCCUGUCCAGCAACACAUCCAGCAGCCACAGUGAUGACCGCUGGUUUGACCCCCUGGACCCCCUGGAACCCGAGCAAGACCCCCUCUCCAAGGGUGGCUCUAGCGACAGCGGCAUCGACACCACCCUCUACACCUCCAGCCCCCGCUGCGUGUCCCUGGUCAAGGCACCGCGCCCAGGCAAGCCACACAAGCCCCCAGGAAGUAUGGGUCUGUGUGGCGGGGGGCGCGAGGCUCCUGGAAGGCCCCACCACACAGACAGACGACGGGAGGUCUCCCCGGCCCCAGCGGUUGCUGGUCAGAGCAAAGGCUACCGGCCGAAACUCUACUCCUCGGGCUCCAGCACUCCAACAGGCCUCGCCGGGGGCAGCCGAGACCCACUGAGGCAGCCCAGCGACAUGGGCUCAAGGGCUGACUACCCUGCUCAGGUUUACAAAACUGCCAGCACAGAGACUCCUCGGCCCUCACAGCUGGCCCAGCCCAGCCCCUUCCAGCUCUCUGCCUCUGUUCCCAAGUCCUUCUUCUCCAAGCAGCCUGUGCGCAAUAAGCACCCAACAGGGUGGAAGAGAACGGACGAGCCCCCGCCACGGCCACUUCCCUUCACUGACCCAAAGAAGCAGGUGGACACCAACACAAAAAAUGUCUUUGGGCAGCCACGGUUGCGGGCAUCUCUCCGAGACCUCCGCUCCCCACGGAAGAACUACAAGUCUACCAUCGAGGACGACCUCAAGAAGCUCAUCAUCAUGGACAAUCUGGGGCCAGAGCAGGAGAGAGACUCGGGAGACAGUGUCCUGUGUCCCCACAGAAGAGCCUGCAGCGGACACUGUCUGACGAGAGUCUGUGCAGCGGGCGGCGAGACCCCAGCUUCGCCAACCCCACCAGCCUGGAGCCAGGCCUGCCCGGCGACGUGCUCUUCCCCAGCCCCUGCGCCUUCCCCUCCAGCACACUGCCUGCCCGCCGUCAGCACCAGCACCCCCACACGCUCGGUGGAGACCCCAGCACAAGCCCCGCCACUGGCAACGGCUUCCCAGAGAAGCAGUCUGCCAUCUCGGCCUCAGAGCUCUCCCUGGCUGAGGGGCGGGACCGACCACUGCGACGCCUUGACCCUGGGAUGAUGCCACUGCCCGACACGGCUGCUGGCCUUGAGUGGUCCAGCCUGGUGAACGCAGCCAAGGCCUACGAAGUGCAAAGAGCCGUCUCUCUCUUCUCUCUAAAUGACCCAGCCCUGAACCCGGACGUCCCACCUGCACACAGCCCUGUCCACAGCCACCUGAGCCUGGAGAGGGGCCCCCCAACGCCCAGGACCACCCCUACGAUGAGCGAAGAGCCGCCCCUGGACCUGACGGGCAAGGUGUACCAGCUGGAAGUGAUGCUGAAACAGCUACACACAGACCUCCAAAAGGAGAAGCAGGACAAGGUGGUGCUGCAGUCGGAGGUGGCCACACUGCGGCAGAACAACCAGCGCCUGCAGGAGGAAUCCCAGGCGGCCAGUGAGCAGCUGCGCAAGUUCGCCGAGAUCUUCUGCAGGGACAAGAAGGAGCUCUGAGGUG